GGAUUAGAUACCCUGGUAGUCCACGCCGUAAACGAUGUCAACUAGGUGUUGGGAUGGUUAAUCGUCUCAUUGCCGGAGCUAACGCAUUAAGUUGACCGCCUGGGGAGUACGGUCGCAAGAUUAAAACUCAAAGGAAUUGACGGGGGCCCGCACAAGCGGUGGAGUAUGUGGUUUAAUUCGACGCAACGCGAAGAACCUUACCUGGUCUUGACAUCCCGAGAAUCUUUAGGAAACUAGAGAGUGCCUCUUUUGAGGAAUUCGGUGACAGGUGCUGCAUGGCUGUCGUCAGCUCGUGCCG
rnacentral:rRNA from 1 species